rnacentral:rRNA from 1 species
GAUGAACGCUGGCGGCGUGCCUAAUACAUGCAAGUCGAGCGAACAGACGAGGAGCUUGCUCCUCUGACGUUAGCGGCGGACGGGUGAGUAACACGUGGAUAACCUACCUAUAAGACUGGGAUAACUUCGGGAAACCGGAGCUAAUACCGGAUAAUAUAUUGAACCGCAUGGUUCAAUAGUGAAAGACGGUUUUGCUGUCACUUAUAGAUGGAUCCGCGCCGCAUUAGCUAGUUGGUAAGGUAACGGCUUACCAAGGCGACGAUGCGUAGCCGACCUGAGAGAGUGAUCGGCCACACUGGAACUGAGACACGGUCCAGACUCCUACGGGAGGCAGCAGUAGGGAAUCUUCCGCAAUGGGCGAAAGCCUGACGGAGCAACGCCGCGUGAGUGAUGAAGAUCUUCGGAUCGUAAAACUCUGUUAUUAGGGAAGAACAAAUGUGUAAGUAACUAUGCACGUCUUGACGGUACCUAAUCAGAAAGCCACGGCUAACUACGUG